UACGAAGGGACCUAGCGUAGUUCGGAAUUACUGGGCGUAAAGAGUAUGUAGGCGGCUAGAUAAGUUAAUUGUGAAAGCCCAAAGCUUAACUUUGGAAUUGCAAUUAAAACUAUUUAGCUAGAGUAUGAUAGAGGAAAGCGGAAUACAUAGUGUAGAGGUGAAAUUCGUAGAUAUUAUGUAGAACACCAGUUGCGAAGGCGGCUUUCUGGAUCAUUACUGACGCUGAGAUACGAAAGUAUGGGUAGCGAAGAGGAUUAGAUACCCUCGUAAUCCAUACUGUAAACGAUGGUUAUUAGAUGUGGGGAAUUAUUUCUCUGUAUCACAGCUAACGCGUUAAAUAAUCCGCCUGGGGAGUACGACCGCAAGGUUAAAACUCAAAUGAGUUGACGGAGACCCGCACAAGCGGUGGAGCAUGUGGUUUAAUUCGAUGCAACGCGAAAAACCUUACCUACUCUUGACAUCCUUGGAAUCUCUUGUAAUGAGAGAGUGCCUUUUGGAACCAAGUGACAGGUGCUGCAUGGCUGUCGUCAGCUCGUGUCGUGAGAUGUUCCGUUAAGUCGGAUAACGAGCGCAACCCUUACCCUUAUUUGCCAGCGGUUCGGCCGGGAACUAUAAGGGGACUGCCGGUGAUAAACCGGAGGAAGGUGAGGAUGACGUCAAGUCAUCAUGGCCCUUACGAGUAGGGCUACACACGUGCUACAAUGGGAAGUACAGAGGGACGCCAAAGCGUGAGCUGGAGCUAAUCUCAUAAAACUUUUCGUAGUCCGGAUUGCAGUCUGCAACUCGACUGCAUGAAGUCGGAAUCGCUAGUAAUCGCGGAUCAGCACGCCGCGGUGAAUACGUUCUCGGGUCU
rnacentral:rRNA from 1 species